rnacentral:rRNA from 1 species
UACGAAGGGGGCUAGCGUUGUUCGGAAUUACUGGGCGUAAAGCGCGUGUAGGCUGCUUCGCAAGUCGGAUGUGAAAGCCCUGGGCUCAACCCAGGAAGUGCAUUCGAAACUGCAGAGCUGGAGUCCUGGAGAGGAAGGCGGAAUUCUCGGUGUAGAGGUGAAAUUCGUAGAUAUCGAGAGGAACACCGGUGGCGAAGGCGGCCUUCUGGACAGUGACUGACGCUGAGACGCGAAAGCGUGGGGAGCAAACAGG